CCUUGUUUGAAUGCUUAUAAGACCAGCUGAAAAAUAAAUUCUUCGGAGCUUGAUCAGACUCUUGACUUGCUCUCAUUCUUUCAUGUCUCUUGUCCCCUCAUUCGACUGACCCCUUUUGUUCCCCAGGUCCCCACUGGAUUCCCCACAGGGAAUUCCCCCCCAACGUGGGGCCAGGGCACGGGGGUCUCAUCGAACGUUGCUGCCAGUAAGGGUAUCCCUAUCAUUGGAUUGCUGCAACCCGAAGGUUGUGAGUGAAAAUCCGCACUGUGGGGUGGCGCCUGUGGCUCAGUGAGCAGGGUGCCGGCCCCAUAUGCUGAGGGUAGCGGGUUCAAACCCAGCCCCGGCCAAACUGCAACAACAACAACAAAAAUAGCCGGGUGUUGUGGCGGGCGCCUAUAGUCCCAGCUACUCGGGAGGCUGAGGCAGGAGAAUCACCUAAGCCCAGGAGUUGGAGGUUGCUGUGAGCUGUGUGAUGCCACGGCACUCUACUGAGGGCAAUAAAGUGAAACUCUGUCUCUACAAAAAAAAAAAAAGAAAAUCCGCACUGUGAUCGCCGCGCCACAAGAAGGACGUGAGUGAAGAUCUGCACCAUGAUGGCCGCAGAACUACCCACCUGUGAGUCUGAUCCGUCAAGAACCACGGAUUUCCGUCCAUGAUGCUGCCUUAUCUCCUCAUCUUCUGCCUCCCAACACUGGGCCAACCUGUUCCACUGGUCACCAAGCCCUUCGCUUGGUGCUUCUAUUUAACCGAAAACUCGACUGAUGAAAAAGGCUUCGGCCACCUCCUAGCCACUGCCGACUGCCCGCCUUCUGGAUGCAGUUCUACCAUUUUUCUUAAUUUUACUGACUUUAGAAUCCAAGCAUGGCAUCCCCACCCACAUCUAUGUUUUUUUGUACGAUCGAACCCAUCGUAAUUGUAAAGAUUACUGGUACAUACAAAAUGUAGGCUGUACCUAUUACUACUGCAAUAUUCACCCAACCCAAUAUCCUGAUUCAAGUUAUUCCCUUAGUUCACUUCCUUACAAUAGCCCCCAUAAACUUUUUUACUUCCAAGACCACUACACCCUUAUCAUUCAAGAUCCAUGGGACAAUAGAUGGACAUCCCCUGUCAAAGGCGCAUGUACCCUACCUCAUACAGCUCCUGGCCUUCCAGCAAGCUAUUCAUAUGGCGCUCCCUUGUACAAAUCCAAACCACCCUUCAUACCCAUAUUCAAAACUAGGAAAACGCCUUGCUUAGACAACUUGCACUCCCUUCCCCAAAUAACCCUUUUUCCUGGCUUACUCUCCUUCACGAGGGUCUUCUCAUUGCCAAUAUGAGCGGACUAGGCAACCUCACCUCUUGCUUCCUCUGCGCCAGUCUCAGCCACCCACCCCUUAACGCCAUCCCUUUGCCGUUUCCCCCAAACGCUACUGCUUCAGAAUAAACACCCUUUAAACCCCUACUUGAUAUUUCUCUGUUUUUAAACCCCCAGGAAAACUCUUUCAUCUUUUGUUAUUCCAACGCUUUUUUUUUUUUUUUUUGUAGAGACAAAGUCUCACUGUACUGCCCUCGGUAGAGUGCCGUGGCAUCACACGGCUCACAGCAACCUCUACUCUUGGGCUUACGCGAUUCUCUUGCCUCAGCCUCCCAAGCAGCUGGGACUACAGGCACCUGCCACAACGCCCGGCUAUUUUUUUGUUGCAGUUUGGCCAGGGCUGGGUUUGAACCCGCCACCCUCGGCAUAUGGGGCCGGCGCCCUACUCACUGAGCCACAGACUAAACUCUGCAACACCACUUCUCCACCUACUCGGCACAUCACCGCCCCCCUGGCUCCUUCAUUUGGUGCAACAGCAUGCUCUCCAAAAAUCUUACCCUCCCACUUCCGCCAACAGCUUUGUGCCUCCCAGUGACUCUUAUCCCUCAACUAAACAUCUGUACACCUACUGAAUUUAUUUUCCCCCUAGACAAAAUUAACUCUCGUGUUUCUUCCAGAAACAAACGUGUUGUUUUCCUUCCCCUAGUUGCGGUUAUCUCUCUUGCAACAUCUACCGUAUCUGUGGGACUUGCAGGAGGGGCCCUUGGACACUCCUACAUCAGUGCCGCCAAGUUAACAGAACAAUUCCAACUAGCAGUCGAGGCCUCCACAGAAUCCCUCGCCUCCCUACAAAGACAAAUAACCUCCUUCGCCCAAGUAACCCUACAAAAUAGAUGGGCCUUAGACCUCCUCACCUCCAAAAAAGGAGGAACAUGUCUAUUUCUACAAGAGGAAUGUUGUUACUUUGUUAAUCAAUCAGGCAUAGUAGAAACACAGAUUAACAAACUUCAUAAGUUUAGUUUAGAUUUACAAAAACAAAAAUUUUCUUCUGAGGCAAACGAGUGGUGGAAAUCCUCCAUGUACUCCUUACUCAUGCCCCUUGCAGGUCCCCUUAUUAGCUUGCUAUUGAUAAUCACCCUUGGACCCAUUAUUCUUAACAAAAUCAUGAAUUUUAUCAAAUCACAGAUUGACUCCCUGGCAUCAAAACCCAUUCAAGUCCAUUAUCAUAGACUCGACCUUGCAGACCGGGGCCUUGCCGAACCUAACAACGAAGAUAUUCCUCCGGGAACCGCGUAAGCACUCAGAGCUAUGCAUGUUGACUCACCAUCAUAUGAGAGUACAACCUGGGUACCUUUUUACGGGGUGCAAUACAGACACUGCAGAGGGAAGGCAUAAACAGCCUCUCUGAGUCCCUUGGAAGCAAACCUGAUUGCAUAGAGGUUAGCAUCCUAAAAAUAUCUCCUCUCCUCCCCAAAAGACGCUCAAACUUAUCACACGGCCAUUAUGCCCGCGGGAGAAAUCAGGUCAAUACUUCCCCCAAACGGUCAAUGUCCACUUCUCAACGCCGACAACUGACAGACCCCAACAGAUUUAAAAACUAAAAGGGAGGAGAUGCCGGGAGCCAAAGCACCUCACAAAAAUGCCCCUUACUAGCUUGCUUGAUUUGCGGUUUAAUGAACAAACUAUUCUCAGGAAUUCAACCAUAACAGCAACGGUACUUUCCGCUUACGUAACUCCCCAGAAAUGCACUCCCCGCCUUAGGGACUUUCCGCUAGUAGUUUUCCAGAAACUAGCCGUCCCCCGCCCUGCUAGGAACAGCCCUUAGUUACUUCCUUGUUUGAAUGCUUAUAAGAUCAGCUGAAAAAUAAAUUCUUCGGAGCUUGAUCAGA